GUGGGGAAUCUUGCGCAAUGGGCGAAAGCCUGACGCAGCCAUGCCGCGUGAAUGAUGAAGGUCUUAGGAUUGUAAAAUUCUUUCACCGGGGACGAUAAUGACGGUACCCGGAGAAGAAGCCCCGGCUAACUUCGUGCCAGCAGCCGCGGUAAUACGAAGGGGGCUAGCGUUGCUCGGAAUUACUGGGCGUAAAGGGCGCGUAGGCGGACAGUUUAGUCAGAGGUGAAAGCCCAGGGCUCAACCUUGGAAUUGCCUUUGAUACUGGCUGUCUUGAGUACGGGAGAGGUGAGUGGAACUCCGGGUGUAGAGGUGAAAUUCGUAGAUAUUCGGAAGAACACCAGUGGCGAAGGCGACUCACUGGCCCGUUACUGACGCUGAGGCGCGAAAGCGUGGGGAGCAAACAGGAUUAGAAACCCGAGUAGUCC
rnacentral:rRNA from 1 species